UGCCUGCAGGGCUAGUGGUUAGGCCACAGUGCUCUCACCACUGUGGCCCAGGUUUGAUUCUUGGCCAGGGAA